rnacentral:RNase_P_RNA from 1 species
GCGGGUGAUCGGGAAGUCGCUGCAAUGAUUAGUAUUGCAGAGGAAAGUCCGAACUCCAUGGAAGAGGAUGCAGGAUAACAUCCUGGCUGCUCCGAUAACAGGAGACAGACGGAAAGUGCCGCAGAAAAUAUACCGCCCAUUCUUGGGUAAGGGUGAAAAGGCGAGGUAAGAGCUCACCGCAAAAGGAGUGAUCCUUUUGGCAGGGAAAACCCCAUCCGGAGCAAGAUCAAACAGAAACGCUAAAGUCUUCCACUUUGUUUCGGGUAGAUCGCUAGAGACUGAUGGUGACAUCAGCCCCAGAGAAAUGACUUCCGCUCCCUUAAAAGAGCACAGAAUUCGGCUUACAGAUCACCCGCAUUU